rnacentral:rRNA from 1 species
UCACGAAAGUGGAUUGUACUAGAAGUCUGCGCGCUAACCCGCAAGGGAGGCAGCGGCCCAAGGUAUGAUUCAUGAUUGGGGGUG